GACUCGUCACACUAUCAUUAACUGAAUCCAUAGGUUAAUGAGGCGAACCGGGGGAACUGAAACAUCUAAGUACCCCGAGGAAAAGAAAUCAACCGAGAUUCCCCCAGUAGCGGCGAGCGAACGGGGAGGAGCCCAGAGCCUGAAUCAGCAUGUGUGUUAGUGGAAGCGUCUGGAAAGGCGCGCGAUACAGGGUGACAGCCCCGUACACAAAAGCGCAUGUGCUGUGAGCUCGAUGAGUAGGGCGGGACACGUGGUAUCCUGUCUGAAUAUGGGGGGACCAUCCUCCAAGGCUAAAUACUCCUGACUGACCGAUAGUGAACCAGUACCGUGAGGGAAAGGCGAAAAGAACCCCGGCGAGGGGAGUGAAAAAGAACCUGAAACCGUGUACGUACAAGCAGUGGGAGCACCCUUUGGGGUGUGACUGCGUACCUUUUGUAUAAUGGGUCAGCGACUUAUAUUCUGUAGCAAGGUUAACCGAAUAGGGGAGCCGGAGGGAAACCGAGUCUUAAUUGGGCGUUAAGUUGCAGGGUAUAGACCCGAAACCCGGUGAUCUAGCCAUGGGCAGGUUGAAGGUUGGGUAACACUAACUGGAGGACCGAACCGACUAAUGUUGAAAAAUUAGCGGAUGACCUGUGGCUGGGGGUGAAAGGCCAAUCAAACCGGGAGAUAGCUGGUUCUCCCCG
rnacentral:rRNA from 1 species